rnacentral:rRNA from 1 species
CGGUACAUCGGUGACAGGUGGUGCAUGGUUGUCGUCAGCUCGUGUCGUGAGAUGUUGGGUUAAGUCCCGCAACGAGCGCAACCCCUAUUGUUAGUUGCCAUCAUUCAGUUGGGCACUCUAGCGAGACUGCCGGUAAUAAACCGGAGGAAGUGGGGAUGACGUCAAAUCAUCAUGCCCCUUAUGACCUGGGCUACACACGUGCUACAAUGGUUGGUACAACGAGUUGCGAGUCGGUGACGGCGAGCUAAUACUCUUAAAGCCAAUCUCAGUUCGGAUUGUAGGCUGCAACUCGCCUACAUGAAGUCGGAAUCGCUAGUAAUCGCGGAUCAGCACGCCGCGGUGAAUACGUUCCCGGGCCUU